CUAGAGAGGCGCCCAAGAUGGCGGCGCGUGCGGGCCACGCCUCCUCCGGGAGCUGAGGCGGGUGGCUGCGCUCGGUCGGGUGUCGCGCGUGGGGGCUAAACUGCAAGGGCUCAUGAGGUUGGGGCUGUUCCCAGGCCCAAGCGUGUUCCUGCGCGCUUCUUCUUGCUCCCUUUGCUUGGUCUUUCCUGGGUUUUUGUUGUUGUUUUUACUCAGAAGUGUAGUUUCUAAGUAAAUGAAGGCAUUACACGCCACAGAUUUGCGCAGGGGAGUCAGAUCCCCUGGCUCACCCUGAGGGAGGCUGGCCUCAGCAACAGAAAGCCAGAGCUCGGAUUCUCCCGCAGUGUGGAGCCAGUCCUCUUAGCUAGCCUUGAACAGCGUGGGAAAAGGCGGCUGUACCAAGUUGUAGAUGCCGGGCUUGAAGAGAAGAAUAGGUAUAUCUACGAAGUUAUGCUUACGAAGAUUGGAGACACCUUAGAAAGGAAGACUCAGUAAAAUUUUGUGAAACUUGGAUAAAUAGGUUGUUUGACUUAACAACAGUGGUUGGAGGAGGUCUUCGAGAGGUCAUGGCCUCCGAUCGACCUGUGAGGAGGGGCAAUUGGAGGCUCCUGACCCCCUCCCCUGUCUCGGGAAGGUGCGUUCCUUGAUUCCACUGCCACAGCGCCGCAGGGACGGACGCAGGCGGCCUUCAGAAAAACCACCAGGAGGGCGUUCGUGGGGAAUGAAUGCAGGAUAUUACUGUGAACUACAAGCAAUUUGUUCCUGUGUAGAGCUGCAAUAUUAACAAGAAGCUGUGGGUCUGAUGAGUUUUCCUUCAUCUCUCAGGGCAAUGGAGUAUGACGAAAUGGGAAGGUAAGAACAUUUGGAAGAUCAGAGCGGCUAGCUCUGUUGCCUGGGCUCUGAGGACUGUGAGCCUUACUUCUGGCAUUGUGUUUACAUCCCACAGCAUUGGUUGUAUGGCCACUGGGUAAAGGGCUUUCAGACCUAAGGCCUCAAGUAUGAUUCCCUAUUUUGGUUGAGGCCUGGCCAGCAGUGGCACUAUGGGCCAGAGCCUAUCAAAAAAUUAAUUAAUUAACAAAACAAAACAAAACAGCUCUCACCAGAUCUGUGGCUGAUGCUAAGAGUGAGACUGUGUGGAGACAAGAAAUUUAGUUGGAAGUUGAAGCUGAGAAGCUCAAGCAGAGUAUACAUUGGAGUUUCUAAUAUUAGUUGCAGGGCCAGAAUAAGGGAGCUGAAUAUGAAAGCAGGAACAUAAGGUAGAACCUCUAUCUGUAUUUGGAAUGGUCAGUGUUUACUGAGUAUGCCUACAGUGGUGGGGCAGGUUCUAGGCACCAGGGGGUUGUUCUAGUAGCUUACUUAAUUCUUGCUACAACUUUAGGACAUACGGACAACUGUUCCCAUCAUUUUACAGAUGGGGAUACUGAGGAAGGGCUAGUAAAUGGUAAAAGCAGGAUACUAACUCUGGAAGUCUGGGUCCAUGGCCUGAGCUCUUGACCACUAUUCUAUUGCCUCUCCUGACACACCUUGCCUAUGGUAUUCAUGUGCACACUUCAGGGCUACAGUGAGUGGACUCAGUAAGGGCUGGAGUGGGCUAGCAGCACGUGCAAACAACGACGUGCAGAAAUAGACCUUCCGGAAUGGGAUUAGGCAGGUUGACGCAACCUGAUACUGGAAGAAAUAGGAUCUCAUGGCCCUAAAAAGGAUGAGAUCCAAGGUGAAAGGUUUAACUGAGGCAAGGAGAAGGGACAAGACAUUUACUGAGUGGCAAUGGAAAUAGGCGUUGUUGACUC